AGAUUAAGCCAUGCAUGUCUAAGUAUAAGCAAUCUAUACUGUGAAACUGCGAAUGGCUCAUUAAAUCAGUUAUCGUUUAUUUGAUAGUACCUUACUACUUGGAUAACCGUGGUAAUUCUAGAGCUAAUACAUGCUAAAAACCCCGACUUCGGAAGGGGUGUAUUUAUUAGAUAAAAAACCAAUGCCUUUCGGGGCUCCUUGGUGAUUCAUGAUAACUUAACGAAUCGCAUGGCCUUGCGCCGGCGAUGGUUCAUUCAAAUUUCUGCCCUAUCAACUUUCGAUGGUAGGAUAGUGGCCUACCAUGGUAUCAACGGGUAACGGGGAAUUAGGGUUCUAUUCCGGAGAGGGAGCCUGAGAAACGGCUACCACAUCCAAGGAAGGCAGCAGGCGCGCAAAUUACCCAAUCCCGACACGGGGAGGUAGUGACAAUAAAUACUGAUACAGGGCUCUUUUGGGUCUUGUAAUUGGAAUGAGUACAAUUUAAAUACCUUAACGAGGAACAAUUGGAGGGCAAGUCUGGUGCCAGCAGCCGCGGUAAUUCCAGCUCCAAUAGCGUAUAUUAAAGUUGUUGCAGUUAAAAAGCUCGUAGUUGAACCUUGGGCCUGGCUGGCCGGUCCGCCUCACCGCGUGUACUGGUCCGGCCGGGCCUUUCCUUCUGGGGAUCCGCAUGCCCUUCACUGGGUGUGUCGGGGAACCAGGACUUUUACUUUGAAAAAAUUAGAGUGUUCAAAGCAGGCCUUUGCUCGAAUACAUUAGCAUGGAAUAAUAGAAUAGGACGUGCGGUCCUAUUUUGUUGGUUUCUAGGACCGCCGUAAUGAUUAAUAGGGAUAGUCGGGGGCAUCAGUAUUCAAUUGUCAGAGGUGAAAUUCUUGGAUUUAUUGAAGACUAACUACUGCGAAAGCAUUUGCCAAGGAUGUUUUCAUUAAUCAGUGAACGAAAGUUAGGGGAUCGAAGACGAUCAGAUACCGUCGUAGUCUUAACCGUAAACUAUGCCGACUAGGGAUCGGGCGAUGUUAUUCUUUUGACUCGCUCGGCACCUUCCGAGAAAUCAAAGUCU
rnacentral:rRNA from 1 species